ensembl:misc_RNA Metazoa_SRP Metazoan signal recognition particle RNA
GCUGGGCGUGAGGGCUCAUACCUGUAAUCCUAAUUACUCAGGAGGCUGAGGCAGGAGAAUCGCUUGAACCCAGGAGGCGGAGGUUGCAGUGAGCCAAGACAGGGCCACUGCACUCCAGCCUGGGUGACAGAGCGAGACUCUGUCUCAA